rnacentral:lncRNA from 1 species
CGCCCAGCCUUGUGGGAGGGGCUGCAGAUGGCGGGCACAUGCCCGGUGGGGCACGGGCUCCAGGGUGGGUGCUGCGCGGUGCCCCGCGUCCUCUGGUUUUCUGACUUCUUUCUCCUCUCUUCUUCACUCCUGUCUCUCUUCUCCCCACCCCUGGGCUCUCCCACCUUCCCCUGGGGCUGACGAGGUCCCUGCCCGGCACGUCCGGCCAGCCGGCCCCCGAGAUGCGAUGUGCCAGAGCAGUGCCCGGGCCCGGCCGCCGCUGAUCCGCCACCUUGACCCCCGCCCGUCUCUCCCCCAGGGUGAACCAGCUGGUGAUGCCGCCUGCAUCCGUCAAAGUCUGAGGCCGCUCCCCUUUCCUUCCUCAGAUGGGACUGGCAGGACCCCUACUCCAUCCCGGACUCUGUCCUCCUGGGCCCUCCAAGAAGCACGCACCAGGGCCCGACUCUGAAGUUGACCUUCCUCUGGGCCUGGCCUUCAGAGGCUGCACUUCCCAGCAGUGCAGGAUCCGAGGUCACCACCCCCUCAUCCCCUUGAUGCCCCCAGAGCCCAGAGAAAGGUGCCUCUGGGACCGCGAAGAGCCCUCAUUGUCAGCCUACUUGGGAGGCGUCCCACGGCAUCCCGGCCCUGCUGGACAGUCUCGAAGCUUUCUGUGUGACCCAAGGCUGGGCACCCACCCUCUCUGGUCUGGGGCUGUGGAGUGGCCAUGGCUCCAAGAGGCUGUGUCCUCAACUAGCGUGGAAGGCUGUGUCUGGGGGAGCUGUGCAGCUGGACAGACUCCCAGCCCCAGGGCCAGGCUGCAGACCCCCUGGGGCCCGGGACAAGGACAGCCCCCACCGGGUAUGUGGGGAGAGCAUGGCCUGUCCCCACCUUACGGGGUCCCAGGCAAGCCUCUGCCCUCCCCAGAGCGUGGGGCCAGGCGGCUGGACUUCCCCACAUGGCAGCUCUGAAAACCCGGCGACUCCUGGACUACAGGGAGGAGGUGGUCCAGGCCUCAGGGCAGUACUUUAGGCUCUGGGAUGUGGGGACGACAACGACCUUGGGGAUGAUGGACUCAACUGGGCAGAGCCAGGGGCCCGUGACUGGGCGGCGCUUCCCAGCCUGGCUGGUUCCCCCAGAGGACGCUAGUCUCUGCUGCCUGGCCGGCUCUCUGCCUGCAGGUCCCCCCUCACCCCAGUGGGGCUAUCCGCUGGGGAGCUGGCAUCUCCAGGGGUGAAGGCCCUGGCGGCAGCUGCACCCCACCUGUGCCCCCAGACCUGAGCUCCAGGGCCAGCCUGCCUCCACGCCCCCCCACCCCAGCAGCCUGGAACAGACUCCUGCCCCCAGGCUGGGCCCUUUCCAGAGGCAGGGCCCCGGGGAC